rnacentral:rRNA from 1 species
GAUGAACGCUGGCGGCGUGCCUAACACAUGCAAGUCGAGCGAACCCUUCGGGGUUAGCGGCGGACGGGUGAGUAACGCGUGGGUAACCUGCCCUGUACACACGGAUAACAUACCGAAAGGUAUGCUAAUACGGGAUAACAUAUGAGAGUCGCAUGGCUUUUGUAUCAAAGCUCCGGCGGUACAGGAUGGACCCGCGUCUGAUUAGCUAGUUGGUAAGGUAACGGCUUACCAAGGCAACGAUCAGUAGCCGACCUGAGAGGGUGAUCGGCCACAUUGGAACUGAGACACGGUCCAA